AGAUCAAUAAUUCUAGUUUGAAAUAUAAAUCUUUUAUUAUUGUUUUUAUAAGAGCAAGAUCAAUAAUUCUAGUUUGAAAUAUAAAUCUUUUAUUAUUGUUUUUAUGAGAUUUUUAUUUCCAGCCGUUUAUUUUGAAGCUACUCGUUUAGUAGGCAAACAAAUUAAAAAAAAAUUAUAAAAAUUAAUUUCUAGCUAGUUCCAGUACUAUAGAUUACAUCUAGCAGAGCCGAUCAUCAAAUUGAAUGUCCCAUCAUAAAAAAUAAUUAAAAAGUAAUGAUUGGAGACGAAAAUCAAUAUAAAUCUAA
rnacentral:lncRNA from 1 species